ACCCUUCAUGCUAAAAACUCUCAAUAAAUUAGGUAUUGAUGGGACGUAUUUCAAAAUAAUAAGAGGAAACACUUUUCAACAUGUUUUAUGAGUCUACCGUUAUCCCCAUACCAAAACCAUAAAACAGACAUUACAAGAAAAUGUCCUGUAGACAAAUAUGUAUUUUGAUGAUGAAUUUAGAUUUCAAAAACUUCAGCAAAAUAUUAUCCAAUUAAAUCCUCUCAUGUCUGUGUGUGUGUGUGUGUGCAUGCACGUGUGUUUGUAAAAUAUAUCAUUACUAAUUGGCGUUUAUCUUGGGAGUUCAAGAUGGUUUCCAUAUUCAAUCAACCCAUCAAUGUGGACUAUGGUCACUUGAAAAGACCAGCAAAUCCUCUGCACAAAAGGCCACUAGAAAUUCAUUAAAGCAGCCUUCCAUCAUUCUCGAAAUUGACCAAAGCAUUCAACUACCUGAGAAAUAUUUAUGUUUGGAAAGCUAUUGAAAUGCAAUUAAAAAUAUCAGGAAACCUGUUUUUACCUUUUGUCCUAAUCUUGCUAAAUCCUUCUUAAUUUUAGGAGACACUGCUUCUCCUUCCACUGUUCUUUUACUUUCUCCUUCCCCUUUGUUUUUGCCUCCCCCUUCCUCUCCCUUUUCUACAUUCCUUCUCUCUCCUAAAUGCUGUAUAAAUUUCUACAUAUGUAAUCAUAUUAUUUACAAAUAGGAACAGUUUUACUUAUUUCUUUCCAGUCUGCAUUUAUUUUAUUCUUCCUUUUUUUCCUUACACACUGGAUAGAACUCUAAGUAUUAUGUUGAAAAAGAGUGAUAAAAGCAAACAUCUUUGCUUUAUUCCUGAGCAUACAUGUGGAAAACAUUCAGUGUUUCACAGCUAAAUAUGAUGGAUUUUUUGUAUGCUCUUUAUCAAGAUGAAGGAAUUUUCUGCUAUUUCUGGUUUGCUGAAUUUUUAUCACAAGUAACUGUUGAAUAGUGUCUUUUUCCCCUGCAUUUAUUGAACUGAUCAUGCAUUCUCCUAUUUUAGAAUAUUAAUAUGAUGAACUAUAUUAUUAGAUUUUUUAAAAUAUUGCAACUGUCUUGCAUUUCUGGAAUAAACAUGGCUUGGUCAUGUGUCACUUUUUUACAUAGUGUCGUAUUCAAGUUGUCGAGGAUUUUGCAUCUAGGGUAUAUUUGUAGAUUUGCAUCUAGGUUAUGUUGGUCUAAAGUUUUGUUUGUUUGUUUUCCUUUUCUUUUUUUUUAUCAUCUUUGUCUUCUUCUGUUUAAGUGUCAUGCUUGCUUCAUAAAAUGAAUUGAGAAGCAUUUCUUCCUCUUCUGUUUCUCGAAAAUUGUAGAGAACUCUUGUUUUUUGUUGUUGUUUGUUUGUUGUUUUGUUUUUUCUUAUUUUUAUCCUCAUACUGAGAACCAAACAGUCUGGAGUGUAAAACAUGGUUCCUCAUUCCAGUUAAAUCUAGUAUACAAUGACAACAACCCUCUUGGGUUAAGCAUUGGCCUACAAACAGAAAAAAACCUUCAGGGAGAUAGAUGCUGAUCUAGGCAUUGUGAGAAAAGCUGAAUUCAUUUUUAAUCAUGAAUGGCUUUUAAGGAAAGAAGAUUUAUUAACUAAAAUAAAUAGAUUAGAGGGAAUUCUCACCUAUGAGAGAGGAAGGGAUGGGAUUCAACCUGGAAAAAGUAAUGAAGUUUUAGUGAACUUGGUAAGGUAGACUCAACAAUUAAUGAUGGAUAAUGCUAGGACCCAACACUGGUAAUGAGUUUGUAUUAUGACUCAAUAGCAUCACUUUAUCACUUUAACACAGAUGGAGGCCUAAAUAACCAUAGGGUAAUGGUUCUUCUUAGAUGCAGAAGGACACAUUUAUAUAAUCUUAGGGACCCCAUCUCUGAGGUCACUCAUAAUUUAUAUUAAUUCAUUGUUAUUGCCAUUGCCCCAAGAAUAGAUAAGGAUAAGACAUCCUGUAGUACAGGUAGCAGAGAUAUAAACUAUUCUUAUUCUUGUGUCUUGUCUAUAGGAAGGGAGUGUAUCCUGGUGUAAGACAGCAUAUAGUAGAGACCAUUGUCAAUUAGGGCCUGUGAACUAAGACAGGGUGACUGGCUAAGUCCACAACCCAUUAGAAACCCAGAAAUAAUCAAAUCAUGGUGAGUAGUAAUAACACUUAUUUAUAAUACUAUACGGUAUAAAGACAAGAACCAAUUAUGUUGAGUAGCUGUAACAAAUAGCUCUAUCAUUCGUAAUAACUUUUUCUGUAAUAAAACUGAAUUGUAACAUGAUCAUACUGCAAUAUGACAUUACACUAGCAUUGUUGGUAAGAUUCAACUAUCUUAUGUAGAGAAGUUAUAUAAUGCUUAUAUUGAUAAUCAAAUGUAUUAAGAUAUUGAGUUAAAGCCUCUUCAGAAUGUAAUCUGGGUGAAUAAUAAAUGGCCUGAGAAAACAGAAUUCAGCUAACCAUUAUCUAAUUUCAAUGCUAAAUAGUUCUGCACAGAUUUAUCAAAAAGUAAAAAUAAAAGCAGAUUGAGAGGAGGAAUGAAUAAUUUUGUUUGUACAAAAUAUUAAAGUGUAUGUAAUGGGCUUGUAGGAUGCAUUAGUAAUUUUUAAAAAUCAAUCUUUACCCUACACUGUGUCCAUAAAAUGCUAGGCAUAUUCAUGUUAAUAUUACUGUUGUUACUGUCAUAUAAAUGCCAUAUUCAAUGUAGAUGCUCAGAAAAAUAUGAUUGUUUUGCUACAGGAGAGAUUAGACCAGGGACAAUAAAUAUGGAUUAGGCAAGAAUGUGUUAACUCAGCAGCCCAGGGUUUUUUCAACCCUGCACAUUCAAAGAGGGAUCAUGGAAAGGAAGCUGAAUUUGCCAAGUUUUGCCACUUGGGCAUUGCAUGCCUAUGUGAUUAACCACCAAUAAAAACCUGGGACAUCAAAGAAUAAAUAAGCUGCUCUAAUUGCCAAGAAUUCACAUGUGGUUGUAUGCAGCUUUACUGGGAGACUGAAGUGUAUCUGCAUGUGAUUCUGCUGUGAUGGACACUUGAUCUUGAGAUGACGUCAUACUGGAUGAUCCUAGUGCACCCUAAAUCCAAUAAGUGUUCUUAUGAAAGACAGAAGAGGAGAAGAUACAGGAAAUAGAAGAAGGCUACUUGAGGAUGGAAGCAGAGAUUGGAGUUAUGCAGCUACAAACCAAAGAAUGCCUUGAGCCACCAGCAGCUGAAAGAGCUAGUCAGCAAUACAACUGGGAUUUGAUAUCAGAUUCAUACGAUUCCGAAGACCCUGACCACCAAAUGCAAAAGAUGCUGUAGUCUGAGUAGCUGAAAUCACUCAUAUAGGCACCACCUUACAUGACUGAUGCCCAGUAAAAGCCCUGGAGACCAAAACUUAAAUGAGCUUCUCUGAUUGACAACACUUCAAUAUGCUGUCAAAUAUUGUUGCUGGGAGAAUUACGUGUGUUCUUAUGGGAUUCCACUGGGAGAGGACACCUGAAAGCUUGUACCUGAUAUCUUCUACAUUUCUCCCCAUGGGCUUUUUUUCUUUGUUGAUUUUAAUCUGUAUCUUUUCAUUGUAGUAAACUGUAACUAUGAAUGUAAUGUGUUUUCUAAGACCUGUGAAUCAUUAUAGUUAAUCUUUGAGCCUAAGGGUGGUCAUAAGGAGCCCCAACACACUAAUAAAUUACUUUCAUAAAGAAUAUAUAAAAGCUGUCAAAAAUCAAAAAUAAAACAAAUCACCCAAUUUUUUAAAAGGCAAAAGAUUGAAAAAGACGUCAUGAUAGAAGACAUGGAUGACAAAUAAGUAUAUCAAAAAAUUUUAACAUCUGUAGUCAUUAAAGAAUUGAAAACCACAAAGAAAUACUACUGAUAGUUAUUACAAUGUCCAAAGUGAAAAAAAAUAUUGACCCUACCAGGUAUAUGCAACAAAAUGGAGGAACUGAAACGUUAAUAUACUUUUGAUUGACAACCACUUUGUAAAAUAGAUAGAUUGACAGCUUCUUAAAAAAGUAAACCUAUGCUUACCACUUAAUCUAGUCAUUUAUCUUCUAGAUAUUUCCCCCUCGAAAAAUGAAAAAGAAAUUGUUGUAUAUAAAUAUUCAUAGGCAUUUUCUCUUUAAUAGCUAAAAUGUGGUCAUGACCCACAUAUUCAUUAACAAGUAAUUGGUGAUAUAUACGUACAGCAAAAUUCUGCUCAGCAAUAAAAAGGUUCGACUACUGACACAUGCAACAACAUGAAUGAAUUUCAAAAGAAUUUUGCUGUAAAGCAAAAAUGCCAGCCAAAAAAUAGUGCACCUUAUAUGAUUCCAUUUAUAUAAAACUUCUGGAUGCACCAAUAUACAAUAUACAGUAAUAUACAAUACUGAAAGAUGGUCAGCAGUUGUCUAGCUAAGAUGCUUAUUAGGAGAGACAAUAAUUGCAAAAGGGGAUUAUUAAAAGUAGUCAUGAGGAAACAUUUUGUGGAUUUAUAUGUUCACUAUCUUGACAAUAAUGAUGAUCUCACGGAUGUAUAAAUAUGUCAGAGCAUAUCUAAUAAUUUAUCUUACAUAUUUUUGGCUUUUAAUAUGUUAAUUAUAGCUCAAUAAAUUUCUUAAAAACUCAUUGGACUCUAUCUGUAAUGUGUGUAUGUUUAGUUUUAAGUAGAGUGCAGCUAAAUUUUUCUCCACCAUUACAAUUUUCAAACAUACUUUCACUUACAGAAUAGCAUACUGAAAAUUAACACAUGCUUUUAUAAUUAUAAAUAAAAUAGUAAUAUAUCAUUUCUGCUGAAAUAAAUGCAAACCAAUUACAAGGAAUUUAUUAGUUUUUAUUUUAGUUACUUCAUAUAUAUUAGCAUCUAAGCCUCAAAGAUUCACUAUGUAAUUGUGUAAAUUAGUAGUAGGGUUACCUGAAUCUGGCUUAAUAGUGAAUUAAUCAGUAUUUAUCUUUAAACAUUUUUUCCUUUAUGAAUUGUGUCACACUUUUAAAGAGCCCUUCCUACAUUACAAGCAUGUAUAAAAUAUAUUCUUAUACUAUUUUAGAAUAAUUUCAGAAGUUAGAUUGUUUUCUAGAUUUAGUGUUUUCAUUGAUACCAAAUUUAUUUUUAUGUACAUAAAUGUAUGAUUUUAAGUUAGAUUAUUUCAAACUGGUAUCCCUGCAAUUAUCUGAACAAAAAU
rnacentral:lncRNA from 1 species